rnacentral:rRNA from 1 species
GGAGUUAGCCGGUGCUUCUUCUGUGAGUGAUGUCCUUCCUGCCGGUUAUUGACCCGCAGGCCUUCUUCCUCACUGAAAGUGCUUUACAACCCGAAGGCCUUCUUCACACACGCGGCAUGGCUGGAUCAGGGUUGCCCCCAUUGUCCAAUAUUCCCCACUGCUGCCUCCCGUAGGAGUCUGGGCCGUGUCUCAGUCCCAGUGUGGCUGAUCAUCCUCUCAGACCAGCUACGGAUCGUCGCCUUGGUGAGCCGUUACCUCACCAACCAGCUAAUCCGACAUAGGCUCAUCCGAUAGCGCGAGGCCCGAAGGUCCCCCGCUUUCCCCCGUAGGGCGUAUGCGGUAUUAGCCUGGGUUUCCCCCAGGUUAUCCCCCACUACCGGGCAGAUUCCUAUGCAUUACUCACCCGUCCGCCGCUCGCCACCAGGGAGCAAGCUCCCCGUGCUGCCGCUCGACUUGCAUGUGUUAGGCCUGCCGCCAGCGUUCAAUCUGAGCCAGGAUCAACUCUGA